UCCUGCUGGAAUGUUGUCUUCGUGCACUAC
rnacentral:sRNA from 1 species